AGCUGCUGGAGCUUGAAGUUAGUUACGGAUGUGGGAAAAAAAUCAGCGGCACAGUACUAACAAUGCUUUUUGUCGAAGACGACCUUAGAGACGCCUUCUUUCUUCUUCGUCAAUUGUUUAUUUACAUAGCCACUGCGGCUCCUCGUAGCCUUUUUCUGGCGGACAAAUCCGCCGGUCAGUGACAGGUUAUACAAGUGAUCAUACUAUCGGAUAUCUUCUGCCAAGUGCUAUUUGGUCCAUAUUCGUUCUUCUAAAUCUUCCGUGAUUUCUGCCGGUAUUAUGGGGAUUGAAACCGGAAAUGCAGCUCCAGAAGGGAUGUAGAGCAGACCAAUCACAGCCUUGCCGGCUGAGUGAGCUUGCGGAGCUUUGCCGUAAAUUUUAGAAAAGGGGGUUGACACCCGUCAGCACGUAAGGAGGGAUACAUAAGCACGUAAGGGACCCGGAAGGGCUCUUGCGCUUCCGGGCCCGUGAAAACGCAGAAGCAUGUUUCAGGCUUAACUUCCAGCUGCAGCUGCUGCUAUGGCCGCUCGUUCAAGAUACCGGAGUAUGUUGUUGUCAUAAUGUGUAGGAAUAGAACGAUUAUUCAUUACCAGCCCUAGUUUGGGGAAACGUGUCCUUGUAUCCUUGUAUGCAUGACAGUAGUACAAACAUGAAUAACAUUGCUACUUUUGGUGUUCAGGCAAGCACAUCUGUUCACGGUGCUAGGCUACAUCACGUAGCAUGCCAGACGGACCGACCAAAGAUGCGCACACAUGGAACACAGCUUUCUAUGAAAACACUGCGACCUCACUACAAAGGCACACAGAAAACUGUGCUGCACUGAUGUCGGUGUUGGGACCUCAGCUGUAAGAGACCUUGCUUGGAGGAGGGAGAGGACAAGAUGUGACAUUACAUGGAUAACCUGUUGGACCUCAUCUUUCACGAGGUUUUUCAGGACCCGGCCCCAUAUGUGAAUGAGGUGCUGAAGAUCUCAAAACCUGAGGAUCUCUCUGCCUAGUAUGCAAAACCUGACAAGCAGCAAGUUAUGGCCAUUUAUGUGUCGAGUUUCAAUCAAGGGCAGGUCUGAACCCUGUAUAACUUCCCUGAGCAUCAGGGAACACUCUGCGUAUCUGGAGCACCGAGCAGGAGGGCAGGACCACCCUGAUUCUCCGGCCCAGAGGGCCCCAACACCAGCUCACAAAGCUUCUGUACGCCAAAUACCUGUAACGGCUGAGCAAAGUUCACAUUGUAUUUAGAGAAUAAAAGGUGACACACAAAUAUAAAGUGUUCCUUUGUUUACAGUAUAGCUACUGAUGGCACAAAUUGUAUUUUUGUAAUGAAUGUAUUUAUUAUACUUGGUAUUUUUUGUAUUUAUUACCUCUGUCCCAGCCAGUACGUUUAAUAACUAUGAUUAAAAAGCUCUGUGGCAAUCUUUCUAGCAAUC